GAUGAACGCUGGCGGCGUGCCUAACACAUGCAAGUCGAACGGACUUUUCAUGAAGCCUAGCGAUUGAAAAGUUAGUGGCGGACGGGUGAGUAACGCGUGGGUAACCUGCCUUGUACUGGGGGAUAACAGUUAGAAAUGACUGCUAAUACCGCAUAAGCGCACAGGAUUGCAUGAUCUGGUGUGAAAAACUCCGGUGGUAUAAGAUGGACCCGCGUCUGAUUAGCUGGUUGGUGAGGUAACGGCCCACCAAGGCGACGAUCAGUAGCCGACCUGAGAGGGUGACCGGCCACAUUGGGACUGAGACACGGCCCAAACUCCUACGGGAGGCAGCAGUGGGGAAUAUUGCACAAUGGGGGAAACCCUGAUGCAGCGACGCCGCGUGAGCGAAGAAGUAUUUCGGUAUGUAAAGCUCUAUCAGCAGGGAAGAAAAAAAUGACGGUACCUGACUAAGAAGCCCCGGCUAACUACGUG
rnacentral:rRNA from 1 species